GAGGGUAUAGCUCAAGUGGUAGAGCUCAUGCUUAGCAUGCACAAGGUCCUGGGUUCAAUCCCCAGUUCCCCCA
rnacentral:tRNA from 1 species